CAAUUUGUGGUAUUGCUUAAAGCUCAAUAUUCAAAAAAAGAUAAAAAAUUUACAAUUAUAUUAAUACAUGAAUAGAGUACUUUGUUAGAAAAUCCAUCAGUUUCAUUAUCUGAUUGAAUUUUUUUUAUAACACAUGUACAAUUAAAAAUAUUUCUUACUUUAUAAAGAUAGCCAAAAAUAAAAUAUAACGUUAAUUAAUAUUCAAUUUUAUGAAUUGAU